rnacentral:tRNA from 1 species
GCCCCUGUGGCGGAACUGGUAGACGCGCCUGACUCAAAAUCAGGUGGGCUAACACCCGUGCUGGUUCGAGUCCGGCCAGGGGCACCA